rnacentral:rRNA from 1 species
AACUUUAAGCGGUGGAUCACUCGGCUCAUGGGUCGAUGAAGAACGCAGCAAACUGUGCGUCUUCGUGUGAAAUGCAGGACACAUGAACAUCGAAAUUUUGAACGCAUAUCGCAGUCCAUGCUGUUAUGUACUUUAAUUAAUUUUAUAGUGCUGCUUGGACUAAAUAUGGUUGAGGGUUG